AGGAUGAACGCUGGCGGCGUGCUUAACACAUGCAAGUCGAACGAUGAAGGCUGGAGCUUGCUCUGGCUGGAUUAGUGGCGAACGGGUGAGUAACACGUGAGUAACCUGCCCCAGACUCUGGGAUAAGCGCUGGAAACGGCGUCUAAUACCGGAUACGAGCUUCCACCGCAUGGUGAGGAGCUGGAAAGAAUUUCGGUCUGGGAUGGACUCGCGGCCUAUCAGCUUGUUGGUGAGGUAAUGGCUCACCAAGGCGACGACGGGUAGCCGGCCUGGACGAGGGGUCGA
rnacentral:rRNA from 1 species